CCUACGGGUGGCAGCAGUGAGGAAUAUUGGUCAAUGGACGAAAGUCUGAACCAUCCAAGUAGCGUGAAGGAUGACUGCCCUAUGGGUUGUAAACUUCUUUUAUAUGGGAGUAAAAUGUUCCACGUGUGGGCUUUUGUAUGUACCCUGUGAAUAAAGAUCGGCUAACUCCGUGCCAGCAGCCGCGGUAAUUAGGAGGGUCCGAGCGUUAUACGGAUUUAUUUGGUUUAAAGGGAGCGUCGGUGGGUUUUUAAGUCAGGUGGGAAAGUUUGCGACUCAACCGUAAAAUUGCAGUUGAAACUGGCAGUCUUGAGUACAGUAGAGGUGGGCGGAAUUCGUGGUGUAGCGGUGAAAUGCUUAGAUAUCACGAAGAACUCCGAUUGCGAAGGCAGCUCACCGGACCGCAACUGACACUGAGGCUCGAAAGUGUGGGUAUCAAACAGGAUUAGAUACCCUAGUAGUC
rnacentral:rRNA from 1 species